UACGUAGGGUGCAAGCGUUGUCCGGAAUUAUUGGGCGUAAAGAGCGUGUAGGCGGCCCGAUUAGUCCGCUGUGAAAGUCCAGGGCUCAACCCUGGAAUGCCGGUGGAUACUGUCGGGCUAGAGUCCGGAAGGGGCGAGUGGAAUUCCUGGUGUAGCGGUGAAAUGCGCAGAUAUCAGGAGGAACACCCGUGGCUAAGGCGGCUCUCUAGUACGGUACUGACGCUGAGACGCGAAAGCGUGGGGAGCGAACAGG
rnacentral:rRNA from 1 species